rnacentral:lncRNA from 1 species
CAUGGACCUGGAGGAGCUGGAGACAGCGCGCUGCUGAUCUGGGAAGCUCACCUGGCCAGCAGGUGCCUCUGACCCCUCCCACUGGGGAUGUCUGGAGGCUUAACAGCAGUGUGGGCUGAGAGCAACCAGGCCGUAGGGCAGCCCCCGAGGCUGUGGAAUGCCCCUGGGCUGCUGGCUCCCUACUCUCCGGGAACCAGCAAGUGACAGCAGGCUUGGCCUCCUGGAGGAAGAGAGAAUCACAUGGGGUCUCGCCUUGGCCCUUGCACACCACUCUUGAGGGGGACCCACGUUCUGCCCGCUUUCUCUCUUCCUGGGAUCCGAGUACUCUCCCUGGUCAACCCUGGAGGAGGGAAGCCCACCUGAGAGCUGCACCUGCUGCAGCUGGACGCACGUGUCAUUUCCAGGCUGUGCUCCUCUGCAGGGACCCCAUGCCGUGUGGUGCAGGCUCCUGCACAGCCUUGGUGUGAAGUAGCAUCUUAUAAA